AUGUGUGUGUAUGUGUGUAUAUAUGUGUUUAUAUGUGUAUAUACGUAUAUGUGUUUGUAUACACACACACACACACACACACACACACACACACACAC
rnacentral:miRNA from 1 species